rnacentral:rRNA from 1 species
AUUGAACGCUGGCGGCAGGCCUAACACAUGCAAGUCGAACGAGUGGCGGACGGGUGAGUAAUGUCUGGGAAACUGCCUGAUGGCGGGGGAUAACUACUGGAAACGGUAGCUAAUACCGCAUACCAUCAGAUGUUCCCAGAUGGGAUUAGCUAGUUGGGGGGGUAACGGCUCACAAAGGCGACGGUCCCUAGCUGGUCUGAGAGGAUGACCAGCCACAAUGAAACUGAGACACGGUCCAGAAUCCUACGGUAGGCAGCAGUGGGGAAUAUUGCACAAUGGGCGCAAGCCGGAUGCAGCCAUGCCGCGGGUAGGAAGAAGGCCUUCGGGUUGUAAAGGACUGUCAGCGGGGAGGCGUUACCCGCAGAAGAAGCACCGGCUAACUCCGUGCCAGCAGCCGCGGUAAUAC